AAGUUAUACAAUCGACCAGUGGAAACCCAGUGUAUAAGACUUCAUAUAUAUACAUAUGAUAUAUUUUAUACAUGAUAUAUCUUAUAUCGAAUUAGAACGGGGAGAAGAAAAAAACACGACAAGCUUCGUACAUUGUACAAGUUGACCGAAACGACAUCACCGGAAGUUACAACUUUCAAAGAAGUCAUUUAUGAUUUAAAGAUUUGUGGAUGGAAAUCAAUAACAUCGGAAUGAAAAAGGACUACGGGGUAACGGAUGACACUCUGAGAUUGAGAACCCAAAAGGUACAUGCUGUGCAAGAAAGAUGUAAACAUGCAAAUUCCUAAAUGUACUAAAUAUUAAAACAUCAACUGCAAUCUUCAGUGGUGACAUCCAAAAGUUGAUAUGCCAUUGGUACUUCAAGUGAUACGACCGUGACAUUGGAAAAUCCUUUUAACUUAUCAUCACUUGAGCCUGAAUUGCAAUCCUUUUGAUACAGACAUUUUUUAAAGUUCAGUUUCGAACAUUAAUGCCGCUGUGUCAUCUCUGGAAAUGGAAAAGCCUACCACAGAAUCUGAUGAAUUUUUUAACAUUCUUUCACAAAAAGGGAUCUUCUUUAUUUUGAAGAAGGUAGCCCAGGAACUGGAAAUCUGUUAUCAAAAUGAUCUUAAUAAUACACUGGACAAUAUUCUAACCUUAAAAAAAACAUGACAAACCCGAUUGAACUCCUGUGAUGAAGCAUCUCAAAACUCAAAUUAUGGUAGUCUUUCAAGUGACAUUGAGGAUUUCAAUAGCGCAUUUGACAGUAAAGUGAUUUUUAUUCAAGUUCAGAUUGUUGUCAUUAUAAAUUUAUAAGAAGUGUUCUCAUAGCCAACAUUUUUCAAGUCUACUUUUGAUGAAAUAUAGUCUUUUCUAUUACAACUUAUUAUGACAUGAUUGUUGUUGUAUACAUAAAUGUUCUUAUCCACGAAUCAUUCACUGUUCUUAUAGGUGUUUUUUUUAGCCUGAACUAUGUAGCAAUGACAUGUCAAGGUAAUCCAGAAAAUGUAAAAUCUUUUCUUUGAUAUGACAAGGAUUUAAUUUUGUAACAAUUAAUAUCUAAAAGUCCUGUAACCCUCAUUAAAGUCCUUUAUAAUCUGA